UACGAAGGGGGCUAGCGUUGCUCGGAAUCACUGGGCGUAAAGGGUGCGUAGGCGGUUUUUUAAGUCAGGGGUGAAAUCCUGGAGCUCAACUCCAGAACUGCCUUUGAUACUGAAGAUCUCGAGUCCGGGAGAGGUGAGUGGAACUGCGGGUGUAGAGGUGAAAUUCGUAGAUAUUCGCAAGAACACCAGUGGCGAAGGCGGCUCACUGGCCCGGUACUGACGCUGAGGUGCGAAAGCGUGGGGAGCAAACAGG
rnacentral:rRNA from 1 species